AUAUAUUUAUUACAUACAUUUUUCCAUUAUUAAAGUGGCUGGAGUUGAGUCAGUAUGUUGGUAGCAGCCACUCAAUGUUAGUGAUGGCUGUUUAACAGUCUGAUGGCCUUGAGAUAGAAGCUGUUUUUCAGUCUCUCGGUCCCAGCUUUGAUGCACCUGUACUGACCUCGCCUUCUGGAUGAUAGUGGGGUGAACAGGCAGUGACUCAGGUGUUGUUGUCCUGUUGUCUUUGUCUACUCAGUUCCAGGUUGGAUGGUGUUUUCAGUUCCAGGUUGGAUGGUGUUUUCAGGUUCCAGGUUGGAUGGUGUUUUCAGUUCCAGGUUGGAUGGUGUUUUCAGGAUCCAGGUUGGAUGGUGUUUUCAGUUCCAGGUUGGAUGGUGUUUUCAGUUCCAGGUUGGAUGGUGUUUUCAGGUUCCAGGUUGGAUGGUGUUUUCAGUUCCAGUGUGGAUGGUGAUUUUAGGUUCCAGUUUGGAUGGUGAUUUCAGGUUGGAUGGUGUUUUCAGGUUCCAGGUUGGAUGGUGUUUUCAGUUCCAGGUUGGAUGUUGAUUUCAGGUUCCAGGUUGGAUGGUGAUUUCAGGUUGGAUGGUGAUUUCAGGUUUCAGGUUUGAUGGUGUUUUCAGUUCCAGGUUGGAUGGUGUUUUCAGGAUCCAGGUUGGAUGGUGUUUUCAGGUUCCAGGUUGGAUGGU
rnacentral:lncRNA from 1 species